ensembl:snoRNA small nucleolar RNA SNORD72
GUCUUGUCAAUGAUGUAUUAAAAACAAAUGUCUGAACAGAUGAGUUCCAGUGAUUUCUACUUUUAUCCUGAGACAAGAC